CAGUCGCCGCGGUAAUACGUAGGUGGCAAGCGUUAUCCGGAAUUAUUGGGCGUAAAGCGCGCGCAGGCGGUUUCUUAAGUCUGAUGUGAAAGCCCACGGCUCAACCGUGGAGGGUCAUUGGAAACUGGGGAACUUGAGUGCAGAAGAGAAAAGCGGAAUUCCACGUGUAGCGGUGAAAUGCGUAGAGAUGUGGAGGAACACCAGUGGCGAAGGCGGCUUUUUGGUCUGUAACUGACGCUGAGGCGCGAAAGCGUGGGGAGCAAACAGGAUUAGAUACCCGUGUAGUCCCUGUCUCUUAUAC
rnacentral:rRNA from 1 species